GAUGAACGCUGGCGGCAUGCCUAAGACAUGCAAGUCGAACGAGGGGACCCAAGGAUGAUUAUGGAAAGUUGGAGUGCUUGCACAAAGACCGGAAAUAGUUUGAUCUGGAUUUUCCCCUAGUGGCAAACGGGUGAGUAACACGUGGGUUACCUACCUCUAAAGUUGGGGAUAACAGUUGGAAACGAUUGCUAAAUACCGAAUGUACUCUACGGAGUAAAGGAGCUUUAAAGCUUCGCUUAGAGAUGGGCCUGCGGUGUAUUAGCUAGUUGGUGAGGUAAUGGCCCACCAAGGCUGCGAUACAUAGCCGAACUGAGAGGUUAAUCGGCCACAUUGGGACUGAGACACGGCCCAAAACUCCUACGGGAGACAGCAG
rnacentral:rRNA from 1 species